UAAGUUGCAGGGUAUAGACCCGAAACCCGGUGAUCUAGCCAUGGGCAGGUUGAAGGUUGGGUAACACUAACUGGAGGACCGAACCGACUAAUGUUGAAAAAUUAGCGGAUGACCUGUGGCUGGGGGUGAAAGGCCAAUCAAACCGGGAGAUAGCUGGUUCUCCCCGAAAGCUAUUUAGGUAGCGCCUCGUGAAUUCAUCUCCGGGGGUAGAGCACUGUUUCGGCUAGGGGGCCAUCCCGGCUUACCAACCCGAUGCAAACUGCGAAUACCGGAGAAUGUUAUCACGGGAGACACACGGCGGGUGCUAACGUCCGUCGUGAAGAGGGAAACAACCCAGACCGCCAGCUAAGGUCCCAAAGUCAUGGUUAAGUGGGAAACGAUGUGGGAAGGCCCAGACAGCCAGGAUGUUGGCUUAGAAGCAGCCAUCAUUUAAAGAAAGCGUAAUAGCUCACUGGUCGAGUCGGCCUGCGCGGAAGAUGUAACGGGGCUAAACCAUGCACCGAAGCUGCGGCAGCGAACGUAUCACCCAAGACAACUUUACGGAGUUGACGAUUGACGGAGCGAAGCGACGUCAAAGCGUUCAUUAAAGUCGAGUUGGCUUAGGGAUACGUUCGUUGGGUAGGGGAGCGUUCUGUAAGCCUGUGAAGGUGUGUCGUGAGGCAUGCUGGAGGUAUCAGAAGUGCGAAUGCUGACAUAAGUAACGAUAAAGCGGGUGAAAAGCCCGCUCGCCGGAAGACCAAGGGUUCCUGUCCAACGUUAAUCGGGGCAGGGUGAGUCGACCCCUAAGGCGAGGCCGAAAGGCGUAGUCGAUGGGAAACGGGUUAAUAUUCCCGUACUUGGUGUUACUGCGAAGGGGGGACGGAGAAGGCUAUGUUGGCCGGGCGACGGUUGUCCCGGUUUAAGCGUGUAGGUGUGUGUUCCAGGUAAAUCCGGUU
rnacentral:rRNA from 1 species